rnacentral:rRNA from 1 species
GCAUAUCAAUAAGCGGAGGAAAAGAAACCAACAGGGAUUGCCUCAGUAACGGCGAGUGAAGCGGCAACAGCUCAAAUUUGAAAUCUGGCUCUUUCAGGGUCCGAAUUGUAAUUUGCAGAGGAUGCUUUGGGUGCGGGCGCCUUCCGAGUUCCCUGGAACGGGACGCCAUAGAGGGUGAGAGCCCCGUCUGGUAGGAUGCCCAGCCCGUGUAAAGCUCCCUCGACGAGUCGAGUAGUUUGGGAAUGCUGCUCUAAGGGGAGGUAUACUCCUUCCAAAGCUAAAUACCGGCUGGAGACCGAUAGCGCACAAGUAGAGUGAUCGAAAGAUGAAAAGCACUUUGAAAAGAGAGUCAAAUAGCACGUGAAAUUGUUGAAAGGGAAGCGCUCGCUACCAGACUUGGGUACGCGGUUCCGUAGGUGCUCCGCACCUGCGUACUCCUCGUGCCCAGGCCAGCAUCAGUUCUUCGUCGGGUUAAAAGGCUUCGGGAAUGUGGCUCGCCUCGGUGAGUGUUAUAGCCCGUUGUGUCAUGCCCGGUGGGGGACUGAGGUACGCGCUCCGCAAGGAUGCUGGCGUAAUGGUAGCUAGUGACCCGUCUUGAAACACGGACCAAGGAGUCAACCUUAUGUGCAAGUGCCCGGGCGUAAAACCCCAGCGCGGAAUGAAAGUGAACGUAGGUGAGAGCUUCGGCGCAUCACCGACCGAUCCUGAUGUCCUCGGACGGAUUUGAGUGUGAGCAUAUAGGGUUGGACCCGAAAGAAGAUGAACUAUGCGUGUGUAGGGUGAAGCCAGAGGAAACUCUGGUGGAGGCUCGCAGCGGUUCUGACGUGCAAAUCGAUCGUCAAACAUGCGCAUGGGGGCGAAAGACUAAUCGAAUCUUCUGGUAGCUGGUUUCCGCCGAAGU